rnacentral:siRNA from 1 species
UUCAAGUAUUCCAGAUGG